AUUUUCUAAAAGCCACAGAUGCCGUCUACUGAUAUAGAAACAGUACCAUAUCGAGUCAAAAGUCUUUUAUUACUAUUUGCUACGAAGUAGCCCACUCUUCAUCUAAGCACAGCAAGAUCAAGAGGACAACAUGGAUUACAGAUCUAUGUCUGUCUCGAUCGGGAUAGGCGUAGCAUUUGCCAUCUUAGGGCUGCUCCUGCUGAUCUGUUUGUUGCAGAGGUGUUGCAAGAAAAUCCGCUGCUGUAAAAAGACAUCUUUGAAAGAUAAAAUUAUGAAGAAAGUGGUUAUGACGAAAUCUCCGUUUUCAAUAAGCAGCAUCAUUGACAAGAAAUAACGUCCAGUCACUGUUGACAGUGAUUCAUCAUUUAUUUAUCUCUUACUGUAAAAGAGUUAUAUUUCUUUGCAACACUUUUAAUUGUAUUUCGUGAAGGAUACGUUUAUUUAUUUUUUUGAUUUAACUUCUGUGAAACAUGUGAAUCACACUGAAAGGUAAAAGUGAGAAAAGUGGAGAUGUGAUAUGAUUCAUAACUCUGCUAAAGUUGACAUCACAUUCUCAUUGUCUGGGAAAAGCAGCACAACAAGAGUGCGGCUGUUCGGUAAAUGGUACUUUUUUCCUGUUUUUUACUGUUUCCAAACUCACCGCAGACACAAAGAAAAGCUUUUUCUCAGACUUAACCAUUUCUCUUAAAAGAACUUCAAAGGUCACCAUACUCGGUUCCACACCAACUUCAUAGCUCUAUGGUUUGGAGCCUCUUAAUUGAAUAAAUGGUAUAAGGCAUCUGCUAAACAAAUUUGGGUUUAAUUCAGGAUAUAGAUUGAACUUAACUAAAAGUGAGUGCUUUCCUAUAAAUGAGCUAGCGAAACAAAUUUCCCCAGGUACCCGUCCUUUCCAUGUGUCUUUAAAUGGUUCUCAUUACUUGGGAGUCCAGAUCUCAAGUUCCCUUACAGAAAAUGUGGUUCAUUUCGGCAGGUGAGGAUGCAGCAAUCAAACUCUGGUGCACACCAUAAGCGGACCAAACAAGCGGGCCAAGACCUCCUUGAAAAGGUGGUCUCGCACUUUCAAAUGAACUCUGUAGCGGUUCGUUCGCGGUCCAACCUCGAACAAACCAAACUGCAAAAAGUGCUGCGCACUUUACUAAUCCAGCUGCCGUAGUCAGCUGCGCUGUGGAAUGAGGAAGUGUUUGUAUAUGGUUAGCAUGAGCAACAAAAGCCUGAUGGCUUGCCAGCAAACUUCGCCAUUUGCAGUGCAUUAAAAAUUAUUUUAAGCCACAUCCGCGCUUCAUUCUCAAAAUGAAUAGUUUGCUAUAGUUGUGUACAAACUAUGUAGUAUAUAAUGACCACAAAUACAAUCAGAAUGUGCAGUCAUCUCUCCAUACUAUAUAAGUAGUGGCGUGGUAUCUGCUGAAUUCUCCAGGGUUUCGACUAAUCAAAAAGCAGUUUAGGAAAUACGUUCAAUACAAAGACAUGUGGCCAACAAGUUAUGUGGAUGUUAUCACAUAACUGCAUUUUAGUUUCAACUGGUUCAGACAAAAACAAUCAGUGUGGUGUGAAAAGGAACUCAAACUGAUAAAAACCUACAAUGUAUAUUUUUUUUGUCUGGAUCAAAUGAACCGAACUACAGAUGUGAAAGUACCCUCAAAGUUUAAUUUCUUUAUUAAUAAUCAAGUUUGCCAUUUAGAUUUUUUUAUUGCUUCUAGUAAUUUUUUUUAACCCACUGGUGUCUCUCCAUGAAGCAACAAACGUGUCAUCUUGCUUUAACAUCUUUACUGUCACAUCACCCUUUUGAGGGGG